rnacentral:rRNA from 1 species
GACGAACGCUGGCGGCGUGCUUAACACAUGCAAGUCGAACGAUGAAGCUGGAGCUUGCUCUAGCGGAUUAGUGGCGAACGGGUGAGUAACACGUGGGCAAUCUGCCCUUGACUCUGGGAUAACUGCGGGAAACUGUAGCUAAUACCGGAUACUUUCACCGGGGGGCAUCCUCUGGUGAUGAAAGAAUUUCGGUCAAGGAUGAGCUCGCGGCCUAUCAGCUUGUUGGUGAGGUAACGGCUCACCAAGGCGACGACGGGUAACCGGCCUGAGAGGGUGACCGGUCACACUGGGACUGGGACACGGCCCAGACUCCUACGGGAGGCAGCAGUGGGGAAUAUUGCACAAUGGGCGCAAGCCUGAUGCAGCAACGCCGCGUGAGGGAUGAAGGCCUUCGGGUUGUAAACCUCUUUUAGCAGGGAAGAAGCGAAAGUGACAGUACCUGCAGAAAAAGCACCGGCUAACUACGUGCCAGCCGCCGCGGUAA